AGAGUUUGAUUCUGGCUCAGGAUGAACGCUGGCGGUCUGCUUAACACAUGCAAGUCGAACGGGGGUCUUCGGACCCUAGUGGCGGACGGGUGAGUAACGCGUGAGAAUCUGCCCUCAGGACGGGGACAACAGCUGGAAACGGCUGCUAAUACCCGAUGUGCCGAGAGGUGAAAUGUAAUUCGCCUGAGGAUGAGCUCGCGUCUGAUUAGCUAGUUGGUAGGGUAAGAGCCUACCAAGGCGACGAUCAGUAGCUGGUCUGAGAGGAUGAUCAGCCACACUGGGACUGAGACACGGCCCAGACUCCUACGGGAGGCAGCAGUGGGGAAUUUUCCGCAAUGGGCGCAAGCCUGACGGAGCAAGACCGCGUGCGGGAUGGAGGUCUGUGGACUGUAAACCGCUUUUGAUAGGGAAGAACACAAUGACGGUACCUAUCGAAUCAGCCUCGGCUAACUCCGUGCCAGCAGCCGCGGUAAUACGGAGGAGGCAAGCGUUAUCCGGAAUUAUUGGGCGUAAAGCGUCCGUAGGUGGUGAUGCAAGUCUAUUGUCAAAGCAUGAGGCUUAACCUCAUACCGGCAGUGGAAACUGCAUUGCUAGAGUGCGAUAGGGGCAAGGGGAAUUCCCAGUGUAGCGGUGAAAUGCGUAGAUAUUGGGAAGAACAUCGGUGGCGAAAGCGCCUUGCUGGGUCUGCACUGACACUGAGGGACGAAAGCUAGGGGAGCGAAAGGGAUUAGAUACCCCUGUAGUCCUAGCCGUAAACGAUGGAUACUAGGCGUUGUCCGUAUCGACCCGGGCAGUGCCGUAGCUAACGCGUUAAGUAUCCCGCCUGGG
rnacentral:rRNA from 1 species